ensembl:lncRNA
GUUUCCCACAGAGACUACAGACUCGCAGUGUCGGGGGACAAAAGUCCGGGCCAGCCCUGCCAGGGAACCUCGAGGCAUGGUGCUCUGGCCGACCCCUAGCCGGGUCGCUGGUCUGGUCCCCAGGGACAGCAAGCUGAGCGGCCUGUGAGCAGCAGCAGCGUCAAGGCUGGAUGUUGAAUUGCCUAUACUUCAAUCUGAACGUGGGAUGAGAAUGAUGGCUGUGCAUUAAAUGAACAACUCAAUAUGUGACGCCAUGGAGAAGUACAAGGAGCUCAUACAAGAGAACAAUUCCUACACAUCAGGCACUUCCAGCUCCUGCGUGAACGGACUCCAUAGAAGAACAAUAUAAAGAUUUUGCUGUAUGAGAACAAAAAACUGAUGGUGGAGCAGACUGUUCUGCCAGCAUCCUGUGUGGAGGCAAAGAGGUUCUGUGAAGAGGCCGGAAUGAACAUCUGUGUCCCCAGAGCC